CACGAGGUGGCCAAGUGGGUAAGGCAAUGGACUGGACUCCAUUGUGCUCUCCCUCAUGGGUUUGAAUCCCAUUCUCAUCG
rnacentral:tRNA from 1 species